UACGAAGGGGGCUAGCGUUGUUCGGAAUUACUGGGCGUAAAGCGUGCGCAGGCGGUUGUGCAAGACAGAUGUGAAAUCCCCGGGCUCAACCUGGGAACUGCAUUUGUGACUGCACGGCUAGAGUGUGUCAGAGGGGGGUAGAAUUCCACGUGUAGCAGUGAAAUGCGUAGAGAUGUGGAGGAAUACCGAUGGCGAAGGCAGCCCCCUGGGAUAGCACUGACGCUCAUGCACGAAAGCGUGGGGAGCAAACAGG
rnacentral:rRNA from 1 species